rnacentral:rRNA from 1 species
AUUGAACGCUGGCGGCAGGCCUAACACCUGCAAGUCGAGCGAGCGGCGGACGGGUGAUUAAUUUAUGUGGACUUCCCGAUAGAGUGGCAUAACUACUGGAAACGGUAACUAAUACCGCAUACUAUCGAAUAACCCAUAUGGGAUUAGCUAGUAGUGGGGGUAAUGGCUCACCUAGGCGACGAUCCCUAGCUGGUCUGAGAGGAUGAUCAGUCAGACUUGGACUGAGACACGGUCCAGACUACUACGGAGGCAGCAGUGGGGAAUAUUGCAAAAUGGGCGAAAGCCUGAUGCAGCCAUGCCGAGUGUAUGAAGAAGGCCCUAGGGUUGUAAAGUACUUUAAGUCGGGAGGCGUUACCGACAGAAGAAGCACCGGCUAACUCCGUGCCAGCAGCCGCGGUAAUUC